rnacentral:rRNA from 1 species
AUUGAACGCUGGCGGCAGGCCUAACACAUGCAAGUCGAGCGAGCGGCGGACGGGUGAGUAAUGUCAGGGAAACUGCCUGAUGGAGGGGGAUAACUACGGGAAACGGUAGAUAAUACCGCAUACCAUCAGAUGUGCCCAGAGGGGAUUAGCUAGUAGGUGGGGUAAUGGCUAACCUAGGUGACGAUCCCUAGCUGGUCUGAGAGGAUGACCAGCCACACUGGAACUGAGACACGGUCCAGAUUCCUACGGGGGGCAGCAGUGGGGAAUAUUGCACAAUGGGCGCAAGCCGGAGGCAGCCAGGCCGCGUGAGUGAAGAAGGCCUUCGGGUUGUAAAGCACUUUCAGCGGGGAGGCGUUACCCACAGAGGAAGCACCGGCUAACUCCGUGCCAGCAGCCGCGGUAAUUC